rnacentral:rRNA from 1 species
GACGAACGCUGGCGGCGUGCUUAACACAUGCAAGUCGAACGGACAGGCCCUGCUUUUGUGGGGUGCUCGAUUGGCGAACGGGUGAGUAACACGUGAGUAACCUGCCCUUGACUUUGUGAUAACUUCAGGAAACUCCGGCUCAUACCGGAUAGAAUCUCCUGCUGCAUGGUGGGGGUUGGAAAGUUUCGGCGGUUGGGGAUGGACUCGCGGCUUAUCAGCUUGUUGGUGGGGUAGUUGCUUACCAAGGCUUUGACGGGUAGCCUGCCUGAGAGGGUGACCGGGCACAUGGGGACUGAGAUACGGCGCAGAAGCCUACGGGAGGCAGCAGUGGGGAAUAUGGCACAAUGAGCGGAAGUCUGAUGCAGCAACGCCGCGUGCGGGAUGACGGCCUUCGGGUUGUAAACCGCUUUCGCAGGUGACGAAGCGUGAGUGACGGUAAUGGGUAAAGAAGCACCGGCUAACUACGUG